rnacentral:rRNA from 1 species
GUCUAUGGCCAUGCAACCCUGAACACACCCGAUCUUGUCUGAUCUCAGAAGCUAAGCAGGGUCGGGCCUGGUUAGUACUAGGAUGGGACACCACCUAGGAAUACCAGGUGCUCUAGGCU